GGACGAGCGGGAGCUGCUGCGGCGAGGGGCGCUGGCCGCCUGGGCCGGGCCGCACCUGGAGCGCCUGCUGCGGGAGAAGCUGGACGGACUCGCCAAGCUCCGGACUGCUCGGGAAGCCCCGUCGGAGUGUGUCUGUCCACCAGGCCAAACUGAGUGACUGACGAGGCCAUCGACGUGUGUAAGAGCACCGCAUGAUGUCCACACAACAAAACCGCCUGGCCAGACAUCUCUCAACCGAGUGUGGCGGUGCACGCCUGUCAUCCCAGCACUCGGGAGGCUGAGCCUGGAGGACCACUUCGAGUUCGAGGCCAGCCUGGGCCACAUUGUGAGACCCCGUCUCAAAAAACAAAAAAAUGCUCCAACAAUGCAUUUCUCAAAAUAUAGCCCGUCAUUAAGCAAUCUGAGACUGUAUUGUGCUUAUUUUUUCUCUUUUUCUUCUUUUCCUUUUCAGUACUGGAUUGAACCCACGGCUUCACACAUGGUAGGCAAGUGCUCUACUACUGUGCUACACCUCCAGUGCUUCUUUAAAUUUUGCAUUUGGGGGCCGGGGAUUUAGCUCAGUGGUUCCGGCACCUGCCUCGAAAGCGCAAGGACCCAAGUUCGAUCCCCGGUACAAAAACAAACAAACAAAAAAACCCAAUAAAUUUUGCAUUUGGGAUUGGC
ensembl:lncRNA